rnacentral:tRNA from 1 species
AAGGGUAGAGCUCAGUGGCAGAGUGCAUGCUUAGUGUGCACAAGGUCCUGGGUUCAAUUGCCAGUGCCCCUG